GUCUAUGGCCAUAGCAUCCUGAACGUGCCCGAUCUCGUCUGAUCGCAGAAGCUAAGCAGGGUCAGGCCUGGUUAGUACUUGGAUGGGAGACAUAAAGGUGUUUGUAAAGGACUGUUCACA
rnacentral:rRNA from 1 species